GCUGCAAUUAUACCAAAUCACAUAGGAAAAUAAUAAGACCUCUCAUCCAUAAUUUAAGAUACAAGGAUUUAUAGUGGACUUAUCUAUUAAAUAUAUGAUUUUUCAUUAGAUUAUUAUAAAUCUAAUCCAGACAUGAUAAGAAAAAUCCUUAACGAUGAGGCUAAGAUAAAGGAAAUCAGAGAUUUGCCUAUGUUCAAGCCUCAAUCUGAUAAAUCUUUUUCAAGCAUCUAAGAUAAUAAUUAUACACUUUUAGAAAGAUUUUACUCGAAUGAAACAAUGAAUAUGAUGAAUAUAAGUGAUAUAAUUAAGGAUUUAAAAUAACAUUAACUAAUGCUUUACCUUCUGUAUCAUAUUUCUACAAAAAUUAAAAAGAACUCUAGCUGGGUUUAUCUGGAGGUGUAUUAGUAUAAGUUAUAGAAGAAAGUGCUUCUGUUCUAUGCUAGCUUGCAUAUUGUAAAUCUACUAUAUGUAUAUAAAACAUAAAAUCUUCACAACCUCUUCUUGUUGUGCAGCGGGUUUGAUCCUGUAGGAACUUUUCGCUUCUGGGAUUCAAACUCUUUAGCUCGGCCAUGGAAGGGAGCAUUAACCAGCGCCGGCUGUGGCCGGGAGCGAAAAGGGUGUUGGCUUCUGGUGGCGUAAGGUGCAGAAGGGAAGCUCCUACCAGUUGCUUGAGCUAAGAAAAUGAGAAAAGCAAUGAGAAAGAGGCUGCAGCUGAUGAGAAAGCGAUUAUUCAUUUUUGUUUUGGAGAAUGUCAGUGAAAAAGAUAUUGAAUUUAUAUAGAAAGGC
rnacentral:misc_RNA from 1 species